rnacentral:rRNA from 1 species
UUCCGGUUGAUCCUGCCGGACCCCACUGCUAUCGAGGUGGGACUAAGCCAUGCUAGUUGAGCGCACAGAACUAUGUCUGUGAGCGGCACACUGCUCAGUAACACGUAGCUAACCUACCCUUAGGACGUGGACAACCCCGAGAAAUUGGGGCUAAUCCGCGAUAGAUGUAAUGUCCUGGAAUGGUAUUACGUCCAAAGGUAUCCCAUACAUGUUUGGUAUACGCCUAAGGAUGGGGCUGCGGCCGAUCAGGCUGUUGGUGAGGUAAUGGCUCACCAAACCUUUGACCGGUACGGGCCAUGAGAGUGGUAGCCCGGAGAUGGACACUGAGACAAGGGUCCAGGCCCUACGGGGCGCAGCAGGCGCGAAACCUCCUCAAUGCACUUACGUGCGAAGGGGCUACCUCGAGUGCCACCAGAUGAAGGUGGCUUUUCCUAGGUCUAAAAAGCCUUGGGAAUAAGAGGGGGGCAAGACUGGUGUCAGCCGCCGCGGUAACACCAGCCCCUCGAGUGGUGGGGAUGAUUAUUGGGCCUAAAGCGUCCGUAGCCUGCCGUAUAAGUUUCCCGUUAAAUCCAGCGUCUCAAGCGUUGGACCGCGGGAAAUACUGUACGGCUAGAGAGUGGGAGAGGUCAGCGGUAUUCUGGGGGUAGGGGCGAAAUCCUUUGAUCCCCGGAGGACCACCAGUGGCGAAGGCUGCUGACUAGAACACGUCUGACGGUCAGGGACGAAAGCUGGGGUAGCGAACCGGAUUAGAUACCCGGGUAGUCCCAGCCGUAAACGAUGCAUGCUAGGUGUUGGGUUGGCCACGAGCCACCCCAGUGCCGCAGGGAAGCCGUUAAGCAUGCCGCCUGGGAAGUACGAUCGCAAGGUUGAAACUUAAAGGAAUUGGCGGGGGAGCACCACCAGGCGUGAAGCCUGCGGUUUAAUUGGAGUCAACGCCGGG